GGACCCAGGAGAGAGGACAUUGGAGGGCAUCCCCAACACCUUGGUCUGGCAUCUCAGCCUUGGUUCUGGGAGACGACCUCUGUUCAUCAUGACGUGAGCCGGGAUCUGCUCAGUCUCUUUAUGCUGCGAUCCUUCCCGAGACUCUCCCUACUGACCCGGGUGAACAUCUGUUCUGUUACUGAGGCACCAUAUUGGAUGUUACAAUCUUGUUAAAUCCUCAGGACAACUGUGUCAAGACCUCUGUGAUGUGCAGAAUGACCAGGCUUACACAACUCCAGGUCACUUCCCUGGAAAGUCUCUUCCUUGAGUCUCCACCUCCUAAGAGGACACCCACCGUGUAGUCAGGGUGCCAUUCUCAUGAAUGCAUUUCACCUGGAUUGCUUUCAGAGAGGCCCCAUCUCCAUGCACAGAGGCCUGCUGAGGUACUGACGAGCCCUUCCACAGCAUAUGUGAAGAAACAUUUGAGUUACCACCAUGUGAAAGGAGGUUUUCACUUGUACCAUUCUGGAGUGAGGUACAGGUUCUGGGCUGGGCAAUGACAACAGCAGUCACCCAGGCCUCAAUUGCCUUGCUGCCUUAGUUUGUCUUUCUGUUGACUUGUUUCUGCUGAAUAAAGGAGACAGGUAUC